UACAGAGGGGGCAAGCGUUAUUCGGAAUUAUUGGGCGUAAAGGGCGCGUAGGCGGCUUGGCAAGUGGAAGGUGAAAUCCCUCGGCUUAACCGAGGAACUGCCCUCCAAACUGCUUCGCUUGAGACCGGGAGAGGUGAGUGGAAUUCCCAGUGUAGCGGUGAAAUGCGUAGAUAUUGGGAGGAGCACCAGUGGCGAAGGCGGCUCACUGGACCGGUACUGACGCUGAUGCGCGAAAGCGUGGGGAGCAAACGGG
rnacentral:rRNA from 1 species